GAUAACUGGCUUGUGGCAGCCAAGCAUUCAUAGCGACGUUGCUUUUUGAUCCUUCGAUGUCGGCUCUUCCUAUCACUGUGAAGCAGAACUCACCAAGCGUUGGAUUGCUGGAUUGUGAGACAGGUU
rnacentral:ncRNA from 1 species